UGGGACUUCACCCAAACCUAUUCUUGGGAGCACUGGGUGGAGGUGGAAAAAGAAAAAGGAUGGGGGAAGGGGGGAGACCCCCAACCCUUCCUCUUUUCCCUCCACCUCAUUCAUCAGGGGACUGGGGACAGCAGGCGAGAGAGCUGAGACGUGCCCAUGCUGGUGCAUUAGGAUGGUCAUUUUCCAGCAGAUCAGUGGACGCAGACAAUGAGAGUGGAGCCUGGGAGUGGAUGGGAAACAGGCAGCUGGAAGGGGAUUGCAAGGCUCUGAACACUGCCACAUGAUGUACCAGCGAUUCACCAGGAGCUCCUCUGAAUCAGACGACCGCUGAAGAAUUACGCUCAAAGGGGACGUGGUCACGAUAUAGGUCUGACAUUUGCGUUUGAUGCACGUCUUCGAGAAGCGAUACCAAUUGGAUGGUUUCAGAGGUUCAAAGCGGAUUACACUUACGCUUUAUACAUUAAGAAAACAAAGCCUGAAACCACAAGACGGACAAAUUCUGCCCAAGGAAAGCUUGUAACUCCCCCUGCCGACAAUUGACUAACACACCGGACCCACCAGCGCUGACCUCGAGGGACCCCAGCAGCAGCAGGGAUCGCCAUUGUGCAUGCGGAAAGGUUACUCUCGCCUCUAAGUGUGUUCCUUAACCCCGGGGGCCAUGGGUCUUUGCACAAGCAGGUCCAGUGUAACCCUGGACCCCAACGCUCACACCCCGGGCCAGGGGGCAGCCCCGAGCGAUCCCGCGGCCAAGGACGGAGAGAGCGUCAGCGAGACCGCCGCCCUGGGGGAGGGCAUCCUGAUGGUCCUGCCGGUCAACAGCAAGACCCAGGGGGGGGGAGGAGCACGAGACCACACUGCCAAGGGUUACCUCGAGCUCGGAGGGAAGGGUAGCGGCGGAGAGGGGGGGGCCCAGACGUCAAGGGAGGGCGGCGAGGAGGAAGAGGACGAGGAAGGCGAUGUGGAGGAACUGAUCAACUUCUUGGACAGCGAGGGAAGCCUGCACAGCGAGCUUCUGGACUAGAGGAAGGACAGGAUCUAGUCAAUAGAACGAAGAGAGAAGGAAAGGAAAGAGGGGGGGGGUCGGAAGUAGAUGCGAAAGGUGUUGAGAGUGAAGGAAGGAAGGAGGAGGUGAUGUACGUGAGGCAGAAAAUGAGAGAAUGUCUUUCAUGAAAGUCAGUAUUAAAGACAGCAUUGGGGAUAUAUGUAUUUUAUAAUUACACACAAUGUGAACAAAAAUCUUCAGGACCUGCAAUGUGUCCUCUAUGUGGCUUGUGUCCUUCCAUUUCAAUAUUAAUGCUUUAAUUCCACUAAACUAGAUGCAAGUUACUGGAUUGGUAUGACUCAGUCUCAAACUUCUUUUUUUUAAGUAUUCAUCACAGUCUGGGAAUAUGUCACAGCUCACAAUUCAACAUUUCUCUCAAAAGUUUUGAAUUCUGAUAUUAAUUCAUGUUAUUAGUGUAGGUCUUGGGUAAAACCUCAGGAUUUUUUUUUAAUAUCAUUACUUUUUGUGUUCUCCCAAAUAAAGUUGUACAUGCUUACAGAACAAAUCUCCAGAAAUAAAAUCAUAAAUAG
ensembl:lncRNA